rnacentral:lncRNA from 1 species
UGCAUUUCGUUGGUUCACUCAUAAUGCAUUAAUUCUUAUUAUGGAUUCUUUAGUUCACUAUUUAAAGUCGUUAAACUUUGGUCCAUAUUCAUGAUCAUUUGGUUUAGUAAUAUGGUUUCAUCCAUUUCAUGUUACAUGUUCAUAAGCAUUUCAAAUGUGUUUUUUGGUGAGAAACUUUGUUUGAAUCUCAAUAAAGGAACCCUUUUGUUCAUUGAUUACAUCACCGAUAAAUUACAAAAUAUAUAUAUAUAAUUUUGACCAAAGUCAACACUUUCUUUUUACUAAGAAAACCAAUCCUCAUAAUUUUCGUUCAUUUACUAUGCUUGCACCCAUGUAAUUGGUAUUCCAUAAUUUGAAUUGGUUACAAAAUGUAUCACUGUAUGAUCAUGUCCAUACAAAGAAAUUCCCUAAUUCUAUUCCAUAACUUGGUUUGAACCACAAGAAAAAAGGAAUAAAACUUUCAUUUUGGUAGCCCAUCCUGGUAUCUCCAAAGACCUCCAUCCGCUCCCUUCGGUCGUACCAUCCUAAGCUCAUUAUAGGGCUGCAAACAUACCAAAAUCAAGUCACAAUUUGAGUCAAGACAAACAAUUCCCAAGCAUGAUAGUUCAGGGGGUUUUCAUUCUGUUAACCCUGGAUCCCUAUAUAAGGCCUCAUCACUACAUAUUCAGGGGUUCUUCAUUUUUGUUCCUAAAUUCAGUUUCUAACAGAAAAGUUCAUUCUGAAUCUCUCCAUCAUUCUUCAUACUCACCAUACGCUCCUUCCAUUAUUGUGAGAGCUUCAACAUUUGGAGCUCUGCACAGUGGAGCUUUGAGCCUCCAUCAGUCAUCACCAUCAUUUCAGAAUGCAAACCUCAACUACUCUCGUUUGUAUUUCGCCCUCACGCGCAAGUUUAACAGAGGAAUGAAGAAGAAAGGAAGAAGGAGAGUGAAGUAAUCGGAAAUUAAGCAUAACAAUGAAAAGAGGAGCUUAUUACCUGAUUUGAAGCCUUCCUGAUCCAUCUUCUUCAAUCCAUUUAUAUCGCCGGAGCAAAACUCCGAUUUUGGGGUAAGUUCAUUGUUUCUUUUCGUCAUAAAAUUGAUACCAUAUCGUAGUAUUCUUGCAGAGAAGCAUUUGCUCUAAGGCGUAAGACUAAAUCGGGCGUCGAUGGCUAUUUAAUUUCUUUUUAUGUUUUAGGGUUCUUGAGCAUUUUUUUAUGAUUCGAGGUCGAGGUCAGAAAUUCAUGGAAAUAAGGGAGGGAUUUAGAAUAAGGAGAUGGACAAGAGUGUUUUGGGUAGUCAAAAUUCCAUGAUUGGGACUGCUCCGCCGUCUCCGGCGCGGCGGAGCCUCUAUCUUCGGUGAGACCUGUUUAAUUUGAGAAAGGAGAGUGAUAUUUCGAUCACGUGUUUGUGUGAGGACUGAAUGUGUUGUUGCUUCAGGUUUUUCCUUUUGGUAUUGUUUGGGCUUGAGAAAUCCAGGCCCAUUGGCCUUUACUCCUUCGCCUGCCUGGUUUCAUCGCUACACCCCCUAGAUUACAUGGAUCUCAGUUGGACGGGUUUGACGGGCCUCUUCCUUGAGGCCCAUCCAUAAUCCCUUAAUCAAACCCAGUUCAUGGGCCUGGACCCCUAUGCUUUCAAUCAUGUUCUAUCUUAAUUAAUUUUCACUUGAUUUGUUAAAUCUUUAGGAUUGACAUAUUUAAUUUCACUUAGUAGAUUAGUUAUUUGAUGGUGGUUAAUGAAUUAAUUUGUUUUAAUUAUUUAAUUAUGAAAUUAAUUAAUUUUAAUUAAUAGAUAAUAUUGAUUAAUGUGAUUAAUAUGUUUUCUUG